rnacentral:tmRNA from 1 species
CUCCUAUAUUGGCUCUGCCGGCUUGCCGGCUAUGGCGAUAAAUGGCCGUCGUAAUAAACCUUUCGGACCCGGGGGCGGUACCCGGCGCCUCCACCCGAGCCCAGACAUGGCGCGUCAGCGUCUCGCGGCUGGGCUCCGGCGGGGGCGAAAUAGGAUCGACGAGGGCGUAAAGGACGCGCUUUUGCCCGGCAUGGUUCCGCCGUUAUCGGGCCACUGCAAUAGUUGCCAACGACAACUAUGCUCCGGUUGCUCAGGCCGCGUAAGCGGUUUGAAAAACCGACUCUCAAGUCCUGACGGGUAGCACCGGCAGGCGGGGUUCGGAGGCACCUGGCAACAGAAGCCUCCACUCGUUUU